rnacentral:rRNA from 1 species
GGCCGCGGUAUUCUAACCGUGCAAAGGUAGCGUAAUCAUUUGUCUUCUAAAUAAAGACCAGUAUGAACGGCUAAAUGAGGACAGGCCUGUCUCUUACGACUAAUCAGUGAAACUGAUCUCCCAGUACAAAAGCUGGGAUAAAAACACCAGACGAGAAGACCCCGUGGAGCUUCAAACCAGCAGUUAAAAAGCACCCCCACACGACACCUAACGACGCGGUUUUAAGUUGGGGCGACUUCGGAACAAAACAAAACUUCCAAGCACAGAACCACAAGUUCUGACAGAGGCCAACUGGCCAAAGUCUAAAACAGUACCAGACCCAGUACCACUGAUCAACGAACCAAGUUACCCCGGGGAUAACAGCGCCAUCUUCUUCGAGAGUCCAUAUCGACAAGAAGGUUUACGACCUCGAUGUUGGAUCAGGACACCCAAAUGGUGAA